rnacentral:rRNA from 1 species
GAUGAACGCUAGCUACAGGCUUAACACAUGCAAGUCGCGGGGCAGCAUGGGGUUUGCUUGCAACCCUUGAUGGCGACGGGGGCACGGGUGAGUAACGCGUAUCCAACCUGCCCUUCACCACGGGAUAACCCGGCGAAAGUCGGACUAAUACCGUAUGUGGUCAAUUGACGGCACCCGAUUGGGAGGAAGGGCUGGGGGGGGAAGGGAUGGGGAUGCGUCCGAUUAGCUUGACGGCGGGGUAACGGCCCACCGUGGCUACGAUCGGUAGGGGUUCUGAGAGGAAGGUCCCCCACACUGGAACUGAGACACGGUCCAGACUCCUACGGGAGGCAGCAGUGAGGAAUAUUGGUCAAUGGGCGUAAGCCUGAACCAGCCAAGUAGCGUGCAGGAUGACGGCCCUAUGGGUUGUAAACUGCUUUUAUGCGGGGAUAAAGUGGCCCACGUGUGGGCUUUUGCAGGUACCGCAUGAAUAAGGACCGGCUAAUUCCGUG